CGGGUGAGUAACGCGUGAGGAACCUGCCUCAAAGAGGGGACAACAGUUGGAAACGACUGCUAAUACCGCAUAAGCCCACAGCUCGGCAUCGAGCAGAGGGAAAAGGAGCAAUCCGCUUUGAGAUGGCCUCGCGUCCGAUUAGCUAGUUGGUGAGGUAACGGCCCACCAAGGCGACGAUCGGUAGCCGGACUGAGAGGUUGAACGGCCACAUUGGGACUGAGACACGGCCCAG
rnacentral:rRNA from 1 species